UACAGAGGGUGCGAGCGUUAAUCGGAAUUACUGGGCGUAAAGCGCGCGUAGGCGGCUUUGCAAGUCGGGUGUGAAAUCCCCAGGCUCAACCUGGGAACUGCAUUCGAGACUGCAUUGCUAGAGUAUGGGAGAGGGAAGUGGAAUUUCCGGUGUAGCGGUGAAAUGCGUAGAUAUCGGAAGGAACAUCAGUGGCGAAAGCGACUUCCUGGACCAAUACUGACGCUCAUGUGCGAAAGCGUGGGGAGCAAACGGG
rnacentral:rRNA from 1 species